CAGGUGAUCCACCCACCUCGGCCUCCCAAAGUGCUGGGAUUACAGGCGUGAGCUCCUGCGCCCAGCCAAAAAAUUUAUUAAUUCAUACACAAUUACUUGUCUUCUGGUUUGUUGAAGCAAUAAGCCAGACAUUUGCCACAAUAAUAUCUGUCAAAGUGGCUUGCUGUAAACACUGCAGCACCACAUUCAUCUGAAGGGCACUCCCGACUAAGGCGACUAAUUUUACCAUUCUCAUACACCUUAUGGUAUUUAAGGACAGCCAACUUAACCUUCUUUCUCUCGUGCUUAUUCUUCUUGGGAGUUGUAUAAGAAUUCUUCCUUGAUAACAUCACAAAGUCUCAACACAAGAUGAAGAGUAGACUCCUUUUGAAUGUUGUAGUUAGAUAAAGUACGUUCAUCUUCCAGUUGCUUGCCAUCAAACAUCAGUGUUUGCCGAUCCAGACGAAUUUCUUCCUUAUCCUGGAUCUUGGCCUUUACAUUUUCUGUUGUAUCCAAGGGUUCAAUCUGGAGGGUGAUGGUCUUCCCCAUAAGGGUUUUUACAAAAAUCUGCAUUUUGGUGGCGGCUCUGAGGUUGAGUGAAAUAAAGAGAUGAGUUAGAUUAGGGGAUACAGGAGAAGGCAAUGCACAGGGCACUGGUCGCAGGGCAGCAGAAGAGCACACACUCCCUUUAUUAUUUAAAGCGUCAAAGGAGUAGAGAGUCUUUGGACUGUGAAGCCUGUUAUUUCCUUCCUUUCCCACUCCCAGGAAUCUAUGUAAAUAGCUGCUUCAGGAAAAUUCAGUUUAUUCUGUUACGCAAAAUAAAAAAGAAGCUGAUAUGGCAGCAAAACUUCCCAAACACAAAGAACAGUCAUUAGUGAAGUGUUGCUACAGAACAGAUGAAAAUUGUGACCCAGCAUUUCACCAUCUAUUUUUUAGACUUGAGUAAAGCUUGUAAAUAGUUCUACAAGAGAAGAUUACAAAGCAGGAAUGGUAAGAACUCAGAAAAGAGAUGGCAGGGCAACAGGAGGACAUAAAAUGUGAGUUGAGGGAACUUGGGAAAGAAGUAGAAGAAAGCAAAUGGCUGGGCAUGGGGACUCACGCCUGUAAUCCCAGCACUUUGGGAGGCUGAGACAGGGAGAUCGCUUGAGCUCAGGAGUUUGAGACCAGCCUAGACAACAUGGCAAAACCUGUCUCUAAAAAAGUACAAAAUUAGCCGGGUGUGGUGGCUUACGUCUGUAGUCCCAGCUACUUGGGAGUCUGAGGUGGGAAGAUGGCUUGAGCCAAGCAGGCAGAGAUUGCAAUAAGCCAAAAUUGCCCCACUGCACUUGAGCCUGGGCAACAGAGGGGAGACCCUGUCUCAAAAAAUAGUACAGAAAUACAGAUGAAAUAAGAAGGAGCACAAGAAGCAGACUAGCCCCAAGGAAAACAUAAUAAGAGACACAGGGAUUUUAAAAAAUGGAAAUAAAGAUUUUAUUUUUUUAAGUUUUAGAAAAUACAGUAGAUCCAACAAACUUAGAAUUGAAACCCCUAUAGAAGAAAACCAAAACAUGACAGUAGAACAAGUGGUUAAAAACACAAUUGAAGAAAAACUAGCUGAGAUGAAACUUACGUAUUGAAAGGGCAUCUGUGGCAGGGAAAACUGACCAGAAAGAUCUUAAAGAUUCCUUUCAAUAGCCAGAAACCUUCCUAACUACCCCACUCCAAGUUGUUUAUAAGACAUUGAAAUCUGGCUGGCCUUAGAAUUCUCCACAACAUUCAACCCCAGUCGAACAACAUUUAUAAGAUAAGAAAGUAAAGUGCGAGCUAAAGAUUUUAUAUCCAGUCACCAUGCCCGGCCCAAACAUGCCUUUCUUAAAAAAGAUAUUAAUAUGCUUAACUCACCUUUAGAAGGAAAAUAUUUUUAGCUUAGAUUCAAGGCAAAACCCACUCUCUGGUUUAUACAAGGUACACACCUAAGGCAGUGAUUGUGAAAGACUGGUAUUUUAAAAGAUAGAGAAAAGGUAUAAGAUACAAAUGCAAAUGAAAAUAAUUUAGGAGUGUCAUGAUUUUAACAUACCAGGUGGAGUUCAUACUAAAAAACAAUAAAGAGUGGCACUUAUUUCUUAAAGGAUACAAUGAAAAUUUAAUAGUUGUGAAUAGCAAUAUGUCAGAUAACAUAGCAAACUUGGUGAAGCAGAAAUAACCAAAAAUACAAGGAGAAAUGGAAAUACAUUCAUAGCAGGAAAUGUUUAUGUGAAAGACGCCAAACAAGCUUCAACAAAUGAAACAACACAAUGUUUUUUAAUUUUAUAAAUUAAAACACUGGACAUUCUGAUUCCACAGUUCAUAAGGAAAAGUAAACAAGAAAGGAGCCAGGAAAACUGAAAAAAUGAAAUUGGAUGUUUUUCACAUAAAUACCAAACAGAUCAAUGAAUAAAAUAAAGCCAUGAAAAUACUAAAAGUAGAAGUCUUCUUAUAAUUUUAGUAUGGGGAAGACCUUUUAUACUGAUUCAAUCCAGAAGUCAUGAAAUAAAUGAUAAAUUCUAUUACAUUAAAACACUCUCAGGGCACUCUGGGAGGCCAAGUUGGGUGGAUUGCCUGAGCCAAGGAGUUUGAGACCAGCCUGGCAGCAUGACAAAACCCUGACUCUACCAAAAAUACAAAAAAAUUAGCUGGACAUGAUGGCAUGUGCCUGUGGUCCCAGCAACUCGGGAGGCUGUGGUGGGAGAAUCUCUCGAGCCUGGAAGGUGGAGGCUGCAGUAAACCGAGAUUGCACCACUACACUCCAACCUGGGUGACAGAGUGAGACCCCGUUUCCAAAAAAAAAAAACCUUCUCUGAAUGGAUAAAGAAAAUGUAUAUACAUACAAUGAAAUAUUAUUCAAACUUUAGAAAGGAAAUUUUGUUGUGUGAUACAACCGUAGAUGAACCUUGAGGAAUUACACUAAGUGAAAGCCAGUCACAAAAAGACAAAUACUGCAUGACCCCACUUAUAUGAGAUAUCUAAAGUAGUCAAACCCUUAGAAACAAAGUAGAGUGGUGGUAGCUAGGGGAAGGGGAAAAAGGGAAUUGUUCAGUGGAUAUAGAGUUUCAGCAAA
rnacentral:lncRNA from 10 species